GGCGAGGUAGCUCAGUUGGCUAGAGCAUGCGGUUCAUACCCGCAGAGUCGGGGGUUCGAAUCCCUUCCUCGCUACCA
rnacentral:tRNA from 1 species